GCCGCACCCACAGGCACCGUGGGAGCCGCCAUUGCAGCUGCGGCACGACCGCGGUCGCUCUGGUGGUGGGCGCCAUAUCGGCCUCCAGUUGCAACAGGAUCCUGACAGAGCCAGCGAUUGUGGACCAGAAGUGUGGGAACGGCCAACAAGGUCGAGGCCGGGCAUCUGCCCGAGAUGGCUGCAUCUGAAUCCGAGUGCAGCGGCGCGGGAUCAGUGACGCUCAAAGAUGUGACUAUGGCCUUUACUCAGAAGGAAUGGGAGAAACUGGAUCCUGCUCAAAGGGACUUGUACAAGGAUGUGAUGCUGGAGAACUAUACCAACCUAGCCUCAACGGGGUAUCAAGCUCCCAAACCAGACAUGAUCAGCAAGUUAGAAAAAGGCGAAAAGCCAUGGUCAGGGAAGAGGAAAAGACCCAGUCAAACCCAUCCAAGUAAACUAGCAAGACCCAAGCAAACAGGAGCCAGUGGAAGAGUUCUGAAUAGGUUGAUCUGCAGGCCGGAUAAAGUGGCGCCCAGCGUGGGAGCUCCUGGCACGGAGAAGUUAACAAGGGAGCCGUUCGAGAGACAGCUAGCUUAAACUGAAAGUGAAAGCGAAUUGAACCAGAGACCUCGGCUGAGGAGUGAGCAAACUGAAUCAAGGAUUAAAGCUUAAAGCAACAGGACAUUAAAUUAAGUACCGAGACCUGCGCAGACGACUACCCGACAUCCUGCCCGACGUGAGUGAACGGCAACCCCAUUUCCCUUCCCAGACAUGGGUCAAGUAUUGAGCGAACACAAAGUGUUUGUCGGAGGUCUUAUAAAGGCAUUAAAGACAAGAGAGAUAAGGGUUGGAACAAAAGAAUUAUUGCAGUAUUUUCAAUUUAUUCAUAAGGUUUGCCCUUGGUUCCCCCUAGAGGGUUCUAUAGAUACCAAGAGGUGGAAUAGGGUAAGAGAUGCUUUAAAAGAUUAUUGUAGAGUUUUCGGUCCAGAAAAGGUUCCUGUGACCACCUUUACAUAUUGGAAUUUAAUCUCUGAGCUGCUUUCCCAGAGGCAUGCAGACCCUCAGGUUGAGGAGACAGUUACACUAGGUGAGGCUGCCUUGCGCGACUCCAUUAAAUCUACCUCAAAACCAUCCUCAGAAAAAUCUGAAGCCUCUGAUUUCUCAGAUGCAGAGAAUGAUGGCCUGUUAGAGGUCAUCGUACAUGGUGAUCUGCCACCACUUCCACCUGUUGACAUGAUCAGCAGGUCCCAGGAUGGCAGCCCGCCACUCCCUGUGCCUCCAUGGCCAAUUGGGUAUUCAUAUAAGCCUUUAGACCCCAGCCUUUCUGAUUCUCAGGAGGUCAACUGGGAACAACCAGCACAACAAGCCUCUAGAUAUCACCCUAACCCUGUUGCAGCACCAGCCACUAUUAGGCCGUCCCCUGACUAUGAUGAUGCACUCAGCAUCUGCUCUCAACCUUCUAGCACAUUAGUGGAGUUAGAGCAAAGAAAAGCAGAUCUUUUAAAACAGAUACAGCUAGAAAAAGAAUGCCAAAAUCUUUCAAUUCAAUUGCAGGCCCUCCGAGCUACACAGUUUUAUAGUGUCCCUGAGAUGGAGCCUGCCUCCAGCACACCUUGUAGUGCGCUUAAAAUGGUGCCUGCCUCUGGCAGCCAGCCUAAAAUGGCUUUCCCAGUCACAGAGGCCUUUACUCCCCCACGGGAUGUUGAAGAGGGCACUUAACCACAAGCUGUUAGGAUACGUACACCUCUCACCAUGGCAGCCUUAAAAGAGUUAAAGGCCGCAGUCUCUCAAUAUGGUCCGACUGCCGCAUACACCAUUGCAGUUCUAGAUUCUUUGACUCAGGGUUGGAUUAUUCCUAAUGAGUGGAAAGACUUAGCAAAAGCCACCCUCUCCGGAGGCAAUUAUCUAUUAUGGAGAUCUGAAUUUUUUGAUCAAUGCGAGGACAUAGCCAGAGACAACGCCACACGGCCAAACCCCUGGACCCUCGCUAUGCUUACAGGAACAGGAGAUUUUGCCACAAAAGAGACCCAAAUGCAGUUCGAUUCGGACCUCUUUGCCCAGAUUAAUAUGGCAGCCAUUAGAGCAUUGAAACGGCUCCCCUCAGGAGGUGAGCCUACUUUAUCUCUCACCCAAAUAAAACAAAAGCCUGAGGAGCCCUUGUCGGACUUUGUCGAUCGCCUCUUACAGGCGGCAGAGCGUCUUUUCGGCUCCACAAAAACAAACUCUGCCCUGAUUAAACAAUUGGCUUAUGAAAAUGCAACCUCAGAUUGUCAGGCUGCAAUUGGACCACAUCGCAAAAAAGAGGACUUCUCGGGUUAUAUACGCUUAUGUACAGAUAUUGGGCCAGUUUAUCAAGGCCUAGCCAUGGCUGCAACACAACAAGGUUGCAUAGUAACACAAUCCCUUUCUCGUUCUAAAAAAGAUGCCAUUUGUUUCAAAUGUGGCCAAAGUGGCCACACGGCUCGUGAAUGCAAAAGAAAAAAUCAAAUUCAGUCCUCUACAAAAAAACCAGGACUUACAGGUUGCCUUACAAGAGUCUGGACUUCAAAUAGCCCCUGAUAAAGUACAACUUACUGAUCCAUAUACAUACUUGGGUUUUCAAUUACGUGGCACUCAAAUACUCUCUUCAAGGCCCCAACUGAGGCUUGAUGGCCUCAGAAUACUUCAUGACUUCCAAAAACUAUUGGGAGACAUUAAUUGGCUCAUACCAUUUUUAAAACUAACAAAACGUGAUUUACAGCCCCUUUAUGCGCUGCUUCAGGGAGACAUAGAUCCAACUUCCCCCCGAGAGCUUACACCUGAUGCCAGGAGAGCGCUCAUUAAAGUAGAAGAGGCUAUUGCUCAGCAAACUGUUUCCUUUAUGGACUACAAUGAGCCUUUACGGUUUCUCAUUUUUAAUACAAAGCUUUGCCCCACAGCAGUAUUCUGGCAACAAGCUCCUCUCAUGUGGGUCCAUUUAUCAGUCUCUCCAAAAAGAACACAUUAUUGACACUUAUAGUGGCUUCAUUUUUGCCACUCUCCAGACUGGAGAAGCUGCUAGACACAUUAUAGCCCAUAUGCUGUCAGCCUUCUCAGUUCUGGGAUGUCCUCAACAGCUCAAGACCGAUAAUGGCCCUGGCUAUACCAGUACCUCCUUUGCUCAAUUUUGCAAGAGCCUUAAUAUCCUCCACACCACAGGUAUACCUUAUAAUCCUCAGGAACAAGGCAUUGUUGAACGUGCGCAUCGUUCUCUUAAAUUCACCAUAGAUAAAAUAAAAAGGGAGACAUGGUACCCCACCCAGGGGUCCCCUAGAAAUGUCCUUUCACAUGCUCUUUUUAUUUUAAAUUUUCUGACCCUGGAUGCUUCAGGCUGCUCUGCAGCAUCUCGGUUUUGGCAUACUCAGACUCAAACACGGUUUGCAUCUGUUUUAUGGAGAGACCCACUAACCAAUGUGUGGAAUGGCCCUGAUCCAGUCCUUAUCUGGGGACGAGGUUCAGUGUGUGUUUACUCUCAACAAGAUAGAGAAGCUAGAUGGCUACCUGAACGCCUCGUAAAGCAAGUAGACAGUUCUUCAAAGACCCCAUGUAACGCCCAGGAAUAAUGUUAUUUCCUGAGGCACAAUCCCCUGUGUUCUCUUACAGGUGACACAUCUCCCUGGAGCCUUAUGCUGCCUAGUCAGCCUUCUAGAGCCACACCACACCCAUGGUGAAUUUCAACUCCUGCCAAACAGACUACAACUGCUGACAGCCAUGCACAGAACCCCAUGACUGCAGAAGAGGCGCUUCUCAGUCUGGAGGAACAUACACCAGCCAAAUAGACUGCAUCCAGUGUUAUGCAAGGCAUCCUCCAAGAUGUAGGAGAAUGACUUCAUACAGAGACACCAACAAAUGGCUGUCAACUCCUUCUCCUUGAUUUGGGGGGGGGGAGUUUUUCCCUUACUAGCGCCCCUUUUGGGUCCCCUAGCUGACCUAUUGUUUCUCAUUUCUGUGAGUUCUUGUAUUUUUCAGAGGAUUAUGAUGUUCAUUAAUAACCGGAUAGACGCAUUUAUGGCAAAGCCCAUUCAGGUACACUAUCAUCAGCUGGAGAUGGCAGAUCAACAAACCUACUGGGAAGGAAUUCCCACAAGUGGCCCAUAUGAUGAUGCGGCCUAACUCCCUGGAGCAAUGGACAGGCAUUCAGAGACGGGCAACUAGGACAUGCAUGUUAAUUCCAACGGCCACCUAAGACAGGCACAGGACCAACUGCUGUUAUGCAAGCCCAUGACGGAAGUUCAUCAAGAUGACCAGCUAAAGAAUAAUGAGAAAUCUCAAGACAAACACAUUAGGGAAUGUGCAUUCCAGAAAACUCCAACUAAGAAGAAAGGCGGUGAGUGUAUUUCAUUGGAGAAAAAAAAUGUGAGUACAAAACUUAGUCCUUCACAGAAAAAGUUUAAAUUUGAUUCACAUGGAAAGGAUUUGAAACAGAAUGUAGACUCACUUGGUCAUGUAAAAAACUCUGCAAGAAACAAACCUGAUAUUGCUAAAGAACACAAGAAGGCAUUAAAGCAUAGCUUAUCUGAUACAAAGAAAGACAAAAAUCAAACUGGAAAGAAACUUGAUAAAUUAUCCAACCAUACUUCUGAUAAGUGUGACAAAACUCAAACUGGCAAGAAACAAAAGAAAUUAUAUGAUCAUCAUUCAUCCUGUACUAAGAAAGACAAAAUCCAAAUGGGAGAGAAACAUGAGACAUCAUCUACUAAGACUGAAAAAACUUAAGCUUCUGUGAAACCCUAUGAGUGUGAUCAAUGUGGCAAGGUUCUCAGCCAUAAACAAGGACUUAUUGACCACCACAGAACACAUACAGGAGAGAAACCCUAUGAAUGCAAUGAAUGUGGAAUUGCCUUUAGCCAGAAGUCUCACCUUGUUGUACAUCAGAGAACUCACACUGGAGAAAAGCCAUAUGAAUGUGUUCAAUGUGGCAAAGCCCAUGGUCAUAAACAUGCCCUUACUGACCACCUAAGAAUUCAUACUGGGGAAAAGCCCUAUGAAUGUACUGAAUGUGGAAAAACUUUUAGACACAGCUCAAACCUUAUCCAACAUGUGAGAUCUCAUACAGGUGAAAAGCCUUAUGAAUGUAAGGAAUGUGGAAAAUCUUUUAGGUAUAACUCAUCUCUUACUGAACAUGUGAGAACUCAUACAGGUGAAAUACCAUAUGAAUGUAAUGAAUGUGGCAAAGGUUUUAAGUAUAGUUCAUCCCUGACAAAACAUAUGCGAAUUCAUACAGGUGAGAAACCUUUCGAAUGUGAUGAGUGUGGGAAAACAUUCAGCAAAAAGUCACACCUCAUUAUACAUCAAAGAACUCAUACAAAAGAGAAACCUUAUAAAUGUGAUGAAUGUGGAAAAGCCUUUGGACAUAGCUCAUCUCUUACUUACCAUAUGAGAACCCAUACUGGUGAAAAUCCCUUCGAAUGUAAUCAGUGUGGGAAGGCCUUUAAACAAAUUGAAGGUCUUACUCAACAUCAGAGAGUUCAUACCGGGGAGAAACCAUAUGAAUGUAAUGAAUGUGGGAAAGCUUUUAGCCAAAAGUCACAUCUCAUUGUACAUGAAAGAACUCACACAGGUGAGAAACCGUAUGAAUGCAAUGAAUGUGGAAAAACUUUCAAUGCAAUGUCACAACUCGUUAUACAUCAGAGAUCCCACACAGGAGAGAAACCCUAUGAAUGUAAUGAAUGUGGGAAAACCUUCAAACAAAAUGCAUCACUUAUCAAGCACAUGAAAACUCAUUGAAAAAACUCAUGAAUGAAAUCAGUUGUGGAAAUCUGAUAAUGGAAAACUGUUGUGUUUAAUGUUAGAAACAUGUAUUGUAAACUUAAAGAAUAUUAGGAAACCUGUAACAAGUUUUACUUCAUGGUGAGAAGUCACACCAUGUUAUACAUUUGAAAUUGAAAGUGGACUUUCAUAUAGAAGCAGUGGAUAGAAAUAAGAAAUGUAAUGUGGGACCAAAUACUUUACAGAAAAAUUUUCAAAAAGUAGAUCUUAACUAUAUAGUCAGGCUGGCCUUAAAGUCGCUGUGUAGCACAUGCUGACUUUGAAUUUGUGGUAAUCCUCCUGCCUCAGUUUCCUGAGUGCUAGAAGUACAGACAUGUGCCUCCACACCCAGCGAAAAUAUUCCUUGAAAAAAAUUAUAAGUGAUCUACAUGUUUAGGUUGAAAUACAAAGCUUUAAAUGUUGAGUAAUCAAUACAAUAAUGAAGCAAUUUGUAUCUACUAGCAAUUUGGGUUGCUUAGGUCUUGUGUCCUUCAGCACCACAUUAGAAUUGAAUUUUCAUAUUUGUAUAUUGCUUUGUAUGAAAAGGGUGGUCAUUUGUAUAAGCCUCUUUUAUAUUGUAUCCAUAUUUUUUUAAAUUAAUGUCUAAAUUGGAUUCUACAUAGCAGCAAAUAGUUUGUAUUAAUGUAAAAGUAAACAGAAAAUUAAGAAAAAGUAAAUAAAAAAACAGCUAAAGAUGCAAAUGUACUGGUAGUGAGUGUUUAAAAAUGGAUUACUGAACCAUGUAUGCAUUAUGUUCCUAUUUUUGGCUGAAAGGACAUAUUUUUACCUGUCUCUUUGCACAUGUGUGUAUAUAUGUAUGUAUGUAUAAAUAUAUUUGUAUAUGAAUAGAUUUUGUUUAAAAAGUCCAGAACAAACUUAAACAGGCACAGGAGUAUGGAAGUAUUGUCUGGGUUGGGAAUGAGACCUCUUUUUUUAGUAUAUUGUUUAAAUAUUUAUCAUAUAUGUGUAUUUAUUUUCACAAUUAAAAUAUUUUAAUAUGCAUAAAUCAACACUUUAAGAAUAUCACUGAGCCAACUUUAUAAUGUCUGACAGAUUACAAAAGUUUCUGUGCUUUUUCAUGAAUGAUCAUGAAUCUGAACUAUAUGGUAUUGAGCUUGUUGAAUUCACAAAAGACUUGUCAAACACAAGCCCAUUUAUUAACAUAAUUUUUAAAAACGUUUUCUUAUUUUGAAGGUAAUAAAAUACAACAGAACAAGACAGAACAAAGCCAAUUGAGACAGUGCAGUGAAAUUGGUACAGAACUUCACAGUAGGUUACCGGGAUAACACUAAUAGGUAUCACAAGUAUAUCUCGUUAUCUUCACAAUAGUUGUUCUUUCAAUCAGGUAUAUCAAAAUAAAAUGAAAUACAGAACAUUAUAGAACUUAUCAAAACAGAGUAUUGAAUAGAGCAAUACCAUUAAACAGAAUAAAGCAAAGAAAAUGAUAAAAAUAUUUGCUUUCAAAGAGAUGGUAGAAGGGAAUCCCACUUAUUUGGUAUACUGCCUAUGGUCAAACUCCCAAGAGAUGCUCAGAUCUCUGGCUCCCAUUUGCUAACAGGGGAGGAGGAGAGGUGGGAUGUUUGAUUCUCAGCCCGUGUGCAGUAGGCUCACUACUGCUUAGCAGAGGGGUGAGCUGGUUGCUUGAUUUUCCAGUGUCCUAAGUUCCAACAUGAGGAGGAUCUCAGGAGUUGCUGGUGGUUCUUGCCCUGGGACAGCUGCAGUCUGCCACACCACAGCUGCUAACCAGGGAGGCAAGCUGGUUCUACAAUUACAUAUGUAACAGAAAUGUGUUUCUUCUGUAUGCUAUUUUAUUAAAAACUGAAAAUGAAUUGUGA